rnacentral:rRNA from 1 species
CCUACGGGUGGCAGCAGUGAGGAAUAUUGGUCAAUGGGCGCGAGCCUGAACCAGCCAAGUAGCGUGAAGGAUGACUGCCCUACGGGUUGUAAACUUCUUUUAUAAAGGAAUAAAGUGAGGCACGUGUGCCUUUUUGUAUGUACUUUAUGAAUAAGGAUCGGCUAACUCCGUGCCAGCAGCCGCGGUAAUACGGAGGAUCCGAGCGUUAUCCGGAUUUAUUGGGUUUAAAGGGAGCGUAGAUGGGUUGUUAAGUCAGUUGUGAAAGUUUGCGGCUCAACCGUAAAAUUGCAAUUGAUACUGGAAGUUUGGAGAAAAGUUAAGGUAGGCGAAAUCCGUGGUGUAGCGGUGAAAUGCUUAGAUAUCACGAAGAACUCCGAUUGCGAAGGCAGCUUACUAAACUGCCACUGACAUUGAUGCUCGAGAGUGUGGGUAUCAAACAGGAUUAGAUACCCCUGUAGUC